rnacentral:rRNA from 1 species
UUCCCCUAGUAACUGCGAGUGAAGCGGGAAAAGCUCAAAUUUAAAAGCUGGCGGUCUUUGGCCGUCCGCAUUGUAAUCUAGAGAAGUGUUACCCGCGUUGGACCGUGUACAAGUCUCCUGGAAUGGAGCGUCAUAGAGGGUGACAAUCCCGUCUUUGACACGGACUCCCAAGGCUUUGUGGUGCGCUCUCAAAGAGUCGAGUUGUUUGGGAAUGCAGCUCAAAAUGGGUGGUAAAUUCCAUCUAAAGCUAAAUAUUGGCGAGAGACCGAUAGCGAACAAGUACCGUGAGGGAAAGAUGAAAAGAACUUUGGAAAGAGAGUUAAACAGUACGUGAAAUUGCUGAAAGGGAAACGCUUGAAGUCAGUCGCGUCGUCCGGAGAUCAACCUUGCUUUUGCUGGGCGUACUCUCCGGUUGACGGGCCAGCAUCAGUUUUAGUCGCUGGAAAAGGGCGGAGGGAAUGUGGCAUCUUCGGAUGUGUUAUAGCCCUUCGUCGUAUACAGUGGUUGGGACUGAGGAACUCAGCACGCCGCAAGGCCGGGAUUUAUCCACGUUCGUGCUUAGGAUGCUGGCAUAAUGGCUUUAAUCGACCCGUCUUGAAACACGGACCAAGGAGUCUAACAUGCCUGCGAGUGUUUGGGUGGAAAACCCGAGCGCGUAAUGAAAGUGAAAGUUGAGAUCCCUGUCGUGGGGAGCAUCGACGCCCGGACCAGACCUUUUGUGACGGAUCUGCGGUAGAGCAUGUAUGUUGGGACCCGAAAGAUGGUGAACUAUGCCUGAAUAGGGUGAAGCCAGAGGAAACUCUGGUGGAGGCUCGUAGCGAUUCUGACGUGCAAAUCGAUCGUCAAAUUUGGGUAUAGGGGCGAAAGACU